GACGAACGCUGGCGGCGUGCUUAACACAUGCGAGUCGAACGGAAAGGCCCUGCUUUUGUGGGGUUCUCGAGUGGCGAACGGGUGAGUAACACGUGAGUAACCUGCCCUUGACUUUGGGAUAACUUCAGGAAACUGGGGCUAAUACCGGAUAGGAGCUCCUGCUGCAUGGUGGGGGUUGGAAAGUUUCGGCGGUUGGGGAUGGACUCGCGGCUUAUCAGCUUGUUGGUGGGGUAGUGGCUUACCAAGGCUUUGGCGGGUAGCCGGCCUGAGAGGGUGACCGGCCACAUUGGGACUGAGAUACGGCCCAGACUCCUACGGGAGGCAGCAGUGGGGAAUAUUGCACAAUGGGCGGAAGCCUGAUGCAGCAACGCCGCGUGCGGGAUGACGGCCUUCGGGUUGUAAACCGCUUUCGCCUGUGACGAAGCGUGAGUGGCGGUAAUGGGUAAAGAAGCACCGGCUAACUACGUG
rnacentral:rRNA from 1 species